GACGAACGCUGGCGGCGUGCUUAACACAUGCCAGUCGAACGGAAAGGCCCUUUUGGGGGUACUCGAGUGGCGGACGGGUGAGUAACACGUGAGUAACCUGCCCUUGACUUCGGGAUAACUUCAGGAAACUGGGGCUAAUACCGGAUAGGAAUCAUUGCUGCAUGGUGGGGGUUGGAAAGCUUCGGCGGUCUUGGAUGGACUCGCGGCCUAUCAGCUUGUUGGUGGGGUAGUGGCUUACCAAGGCUUUGACGGGUAGCCGGCCUGAGAGGGCGACCGGCCACAUUGGGACCGAGAUACGGCCCAGACUCCUACGGGAGGCAGCAGUGGGGAAUAUUGCACAAUGGGCGGAAGCCUGAUGCAGCAACGCCGCGUGCGGGAUGACGGCCUUCGGGUUGUAAACCGCUUUCAGCAGGGGCGAAGCUUGUGGUGACGGUACCUGCAGAAGAAGCACCGGCUAACUACGUG
rnacentral:rRNA from 1 species